GCUACCCUAAAUCAAACACAGCCGCUGCUCAUACUUUUCACUCUCACCAAAACUCAAGAACUCUCAAUCUGAAAUUCACUCUCUAGAACUCACAAGGACGACAACAGUGACUAUUCAUAUUUUCCCACUCAAUCAAGUCCCACGUUCAAAGUUCACAAUCAAACUCAAGCUCCUUGCAAGAAUAAAUUUCUUCCUAUCAAAACCCAAUCAAGUUAAAGAAAACCGAGAACCAAACUUGAGAGAGGGUGUUACCGUUUGUUCCUUCGAAAUCUAUUCAAGGUAUAUACCUCCCAGCAACCAAUUCUCUUUUCUUUUCAUGCGUUUGCAUCUCACAUAAUACCCAACUAAAUUAUUAAAUCGAAGCAACCUGGAUUAAGAAUCAGACAUAAAUAUAUCAAGAUCGUACCUUUA